rnacentral:misc_RNA from 1 species
UUCGAUCCCGUAAGCUCCAGAUUGAACGCUGGCGGGAUACUUUACACAUGCAAGUCGAACGGCAGCACGGACUUCGGUCUGGUGGCGAGUGGCGAACGGAGUGAGUAAUGUAUCGGAACGUGCCUAGUAGCGGGGGAUAACUACACCAUGAAAGCGUAGCUAAUACCACAUACGCCCUUCGGGGAAAAGCGGGGGACCUUCGGGCCUCGCACUAUUAGAGCAGCCGAUAUCCGGAUUAGCUAGUUGGUGGGGUAACGGCUCGCAAGGCGACGUUCCGUAGCUGGUUUGAAGAGGACGACCAGCCACACUGGGACUGAGACACGGCCCAGACUCCUACGGGAGGCAACAGUGGGGAAUUUUGGACAAUGGGGAAACCUGAUCCAGCCAUCCCGCGUGUACGUGAAGGCCUUCGGGUUGUAAAGCACUUUUGGCAGGAAAGAAACGGCACGGGAUAAUACCCCGUGCAACUGACGGUACCUGCAGAAUAAGCACCGGCUAACUACGUGCCAGCAGCCGCGGUAAUACGUAGGGUGCAAGCGUUAAUCGGAAUUACUGGGCGUAAAGCGUGCGCAGGCGGUUCGGAAAGAAGAUGUGAAAUAGCAAUG